CAUGCAAGUCGAGGGGAAACGACAUCGAAAGCUUGCUUUUGAUGGGCGUCGACCGGCGCACGGGUGAGUAACGCGUAUCCAACCUGCCCAUCACUUGGGGAUAACCUUGCGAAAGUAAGACUAAUACCCAAUGACGUCUCUAGAAGACAUCUGAAAGAGAUUAAAGAUUUAUCGGUGAUGGAUGGGGAUGCGUCUGAUUAGCUUGUUGGCGGGGUAACGGCCCACCAAGGCGACGAUCAGUAGGGGUUCUGAGAGGAAGGUCCCCCACAUUGGAACUGAGACACGGUCCAAACUCCUACGGGAGGCAGCAGUGAGGAAUAUUGGUCAAUGGGCGAGAGCCUGAACCAGCCAAGUAGCGUGCAGGAUGACGGCCCUAUGGGUUGUAAACUGCUUUUAUAAGGGAAUAAAGUGAGUCUCGUGAGACUUUUUGCAUGUACCUUAUGAAUAAGGACCGGCUAAUUCCGUGCCAGCAGCCGCGGUAAUACGGAAGGUCCGGGCGUUAUCCGGAUUUAUUGGGUUUAAAGGGAGCGUAGGCCGGAGAUUAAGCGUGUUGUGAAAUGUAGACGCUCAACGUCUGCACUGCAGCGCGAACUGGUUUCCUUGAGUACGCACAAAGUGGGCGGAAUUCGCGGUGCAGCGGUGAAAUGCUUAGAUAUCACGAAGAACUCCGAUUGCGAAGGCAGCUCACUGGAGCGCAACUGACGCUGAAGCUCGAAAGUGCGGGUAUCGAACAGGAUUAGAUACCCUGGUAGUCCGCACGGUAAACGAUGGAUGCCCGCUGUUGGUCUGAAUAGGUCA
rnacentral:rRNA from 1 species